rnacentral:lncRNA from 1 species
CCUGCCCUCAUUUCUGUCUCUCAUAGCCAAAAGUCACAUCACAAUGUGUUCUUUUCUUGCUUUUAUAAAGUGAAUAUCUAGUUUUCUCCUGCUUUCCCUCAGGAGCAUCUGAGUGAAACUGUUUUCCUGACCUGCAAAACACUUCAGAAACUUUCCCUGCCCAAACUGAGAGACCGAGGCAAUGAAGAGAGCUCUGAUUUGCAAAGCUGAAUAAAACAAAAGCACAGAGGAACCUGGCUGGGCGUGCUGACCUUCUUUUCAGUUUUCAAGCAACUCGAAAAGGAAUCUUGCUCAGAACUGGCCGUGAUCCUUGUUUUCUCAUGCAGAGCCAUUAACCUCUAACUUACUGAAGCAAGCAAACUGUUAUUUGCUGGUAUAAAAAGCCACCUCUGGCCUUCCUCAUUUUCUCCUGAGACAUCUGAAAAUGGAGAGAACAUUCCAAAGGAAAGGAAACCCUUCAAGGAGAAGUGGAGGAGGAUGAAGGCUGCUGGGUCCUUUCCCAUUUCCACACACAUUUCCACAUCCCUGUCCCUGCUCAGGGACCUGCAGGGGACAGAGCCCAGGAAGUUGGGAAGGCUGAGCUCCACCUGCACGACAGGGGAAUCCCAGAAUCCCCGAGUGUGGGUGGCCAUCAAGCAAACCAAGGCAGUGUCCUGCUGAAAUCCCAAAUCCCCCGGGUGCCCCUGCCCAGCCCAGGCUCUGGUGCCUCCUGCUCUGCCCGGGAGCCUCUGGUGGGCUGUGUGAGGUGGGAAUUCUCCCUCUCACCUUUCUGUGUCAGCCCUCACUGACACCUGG